rnacentral:rRNA from 1 species
UGUCAGUACAGGCCGCUCUAAGGCGAAACCGCGAAUGGCUCAUUAAAUCAGUUAUAAUUCAAUAGAUCCAAACCUAUUACUCGGAUAACCCUGGUAAUUCUAGAGCUAAUACGUGACGAUUACAACUCCGACUGGAAGGGAGGAGUGCUUUUAUUAGUUGAAAACCAAUCGGGCCUCGGUCCGUUCACUUUACUGUGAUGACUCUGAAUAACUUUGUGCCGAGAGCACGGUCUCCGCACCGGCUCCGUAUCUUUCGAGUUUCUGCCUUAUCAUGCUGUGGAUUGUAGGCCAUGCGCCUACAGUGGCUGUUACGGGUGACGGAGAAUCAGGGUUCGAUUCCGGAGAGGGAGCCUGAGAAACGGCUACCACAUCCAAGGAAGGCAGCAGGCACGCAAAUUACCCAAUCCCAGCUCUGGGAGGUAGUGACGAAAAAUAACAAUGCGGGACUCUUCCGAGUCUGCGUAAUUGGAAUGAGCACACUUUAAAUCCUUUAGCAACAACCAAUUGGAGGGCAAGUCUGGUGCCAGCAGCCGCGGUAAUUCCAGCUCCAAUAGCGUAUAUUAAAGUUGUUGCGGUUAAAAAGCUCGUAGUUCGAGCUCAGUUCCGGACUGGCCGGGGAGGUCACCGCCCGGUGCUUCCCCGUCAGGCUCCGAACAGCUUCCCUGAGCGGAAGCCAAGCCGGUUCUGCCGGGGUGCUCUUUACCGAGUGUCCCGCGCGGCCGGCCAGUUCACCUUGAAUAAAUGAGAGUGCUCAAAGCAGGCUACUCUCGAAUAUAACGCCCGAAUGUUACCUGCAUGGAAUGAUGGAAGAUGAUCUCGGUUCCAUUUUAUUGGUGGUGGGAGCCAGAGGUAAUGAUAAACAGGGACUGUCGGGGGCAUCCGUACUACGACGCGAGAGGUGAAAUUCAGUGACCGUCGUAGGACGAACAACAGCGAAAGCAUUUGCCAAGAAUGUCUUCGUUGAUCAAGAACGAAAGUUAGAGGAUCGAAGGCGAUCAGAUACCGCCCUAGUUCUAACCCUAAACGAUGCUGACUAGCAAUUCGCCGUCGUUAUUCCCAUGACGUGGCGAGACGCCCCCGGGAAACCUCAAGUCUUUGAGUUCCGGGGGUAGUAUGGUUGCAAAACUGAAACUUAAAGGAAUUGACGGAAGGGCACCACCAGGAGUGGAGCCUGCGGCUUAAUUUGACUCAACACGGGAAACCUCACCAGGCCCGGACACCAGAAGGAUUGACAGAUUAAGAGCUCUUUCU